rnacentral:precursor_RNA from 1 species
UUGGAAACCUACUAAGUGAGAACUUUCAAAUUCAGAGAACCCCUGGAAUUAAAAAUGGGCAAUCCUGAGCCAAAUCCUGUUUUACGAAAAUAAAGAAAAAUAAAGAAAGGUUCGGAAAGAAAGAAUUUAAAUAAAAAAGGGAUAGGUGCAGAGACUCAAUGGAAGCUGUUCUAACAAAUGGGGUUUGACUACCUUUGCGUUAGCAAAGGAAUCCUUCUAUCGAAACUACAGAAAGGAUAAAAGAUAAACCUAUACGCAUACCUAAAGGUAAUAAAAAACUGUCUAAAAAAAAAAAGACGACCCAAACCCGUAUUUAUAUAUUUUUUUAUGAAAAAUAUAAAGAAUUGUUGUGAAUUCAUAUUAAUUCCAAAUUGAAGAAGGAAUCGAAUACAACAUUCAUUAAUAAAAUAAUUUACCCCAUAGUUUGAUAAAUCUUUUGAACAAUUGGUUAAUCAGACGAGAAUAAAGAUAGAGUCCCGCUUUACAUGUCAAUAUCAAUGCUGACAACAAUGAAAUUUAUAGUAAGAGGAAAAUCCGUCGACUUUUAAAAUCGUGAGGGUUCAAGUCCCUCUAUCCCCAA